rnacentral:rRNA from 1 species
UACGGGAGGCAGCAGUGGGGAAUUUUGGACAAUGGGCGAAAGCCUGAUCCAGCAAUGCCGCGUGUGUGAAGAAGGCCUUCGGGUUGUAAAGCACUUUUGUCCGGAAAGAAAACCUCCGCCCUAAUAUGGUGGGGGGAUGACGGUACCGGAAGAAUAAGCACCGGCUAACUACGUGCCAGCAGCCGCGGUAAUACGUAGGGUGCAAGCGUUAAUCGGAAUUACUGGGCGUAAAGCGUGCGCAGGCGGUCCGCUAAGACAGAUGUGAAAUCCCCGGGCUUAACCUGGGAACUGCAUUUGUGACUGGCGGGCUAGAGUAUGGCAGAGGGGGGUAGAAUUCCACGUGUAGCAGUGAAAUGCGUAGAGAUGUGGAGGAAUACCGAUGGCGAAGGCAGCCCCCUGGGCCAAUACUGACGCUCAUGCACGAAAGCGUGGGGAGCAAACAGGAUUAGAUACCCUGGUAGUCCACGCCCUAAACGAUGUCAACUAGUUGUCGGGUCUUCAUUGACUUGGUAACGUAGCUAACGCGUGAAGUUGACCGCCUGGGGAGUACGGUCGCAAGAUUAAAACUCAAAGGAAUUGACGGGGACCCGCACAAGCGGUGGAUGAUGUGGAUUAAUUCGAUGCAACGCGAAAAACCUUACCUACCCUUGACAUGUAUGGAACCUGGCUGAGAGGUCAGGGUGCCCGAAAGGGAGCCAUAACACAGGUGCUGCA